CCUCGGCUGGUUGCUAGGAGACGGGGACGCCUGGCUGCCGGGGUCCCGGAGCCGCGGACUGUGUAGGCCCCGGCCAGCCAGAGGAGCCGAGCGACGGCGGGCUCGUCUUCCCCGGGGGCCCCCCGCGCCUGCCCCGGGCUCGAGGGGCCAUGGAGCCUGGGAAGAGAAGAACGAAAGAUGAUACCUGGAAAGCAGAAGACCUCAGAAGACACCUUAAGGCUGUGCAAUCAGGAAGUCCCAAGGAAGAUAAGAAACUCAGGGAAAAGAAGGCGCACAAGGAGUCGGAGCUGGGCCUCCUUGAACACAGAGAGCACAAGAGCAGGGACCCAGACCGAGAGGCCCGGCACAAGGAGAAGGCUGCUGAGAGAGACCUUCACGCGUUUACGGAGCAUGCGCGUGGGGAGAGAGACCGGGAGAGGCACAAGGAAAGGAGGAAGGAGGCGAAGGACCGCGAGAGAGACAAGCUGAAAGAGAGGCACCGAGAGCAAGAGGCGGAGAAGGCCCCCAGUCGAGGCAAAGACCGCGAGAGAGACAGGGACAGAAGGGCCAGGAAGGAAGAGCUCAGGCAGACGAUCGCCUACCACGACCUCCUGGCGCGAGAGGCGCGUGGCCGGCAGGUUCUGGAGAGAGUGGACAAGAAGGCCCACGCAGCAGGCAAAGUACGAAUUGAGGAAAAGGAAAGGAGAGAUGAAGAUUCUGAAAGAGGAGAUGACGACAGAGAAAGAAGAUACCGAGAAAGAAAGAUCUCACUGUUGCUUUCAAAGCUACAGUAUGGAGACAGUAAAGAGAACCCUCUCAACUACUGGCUGUAUAAAGAGGAGAGUGAAAAGAGGCACAGGAAGACGAAAGAUGCAGACCGUGAGAAGAGACACCGCGAGAGAAGCAGCACCAGGGAGAAGAGAGAGAAACACUCUAAAGAGAAGGGGAGCUCGCUCUCUGACAGGGAAGUGGAGGACAGACACCGAGAGAGGCGGCACAAGGAGGGACUUCAUCAUGAUGAGGAGAAGCGCCGAAGUCACACAGAUAAAAGAGAGAGAUCCGUGAAGGAAGAGCACAAGAAAAGAGAAGCAAAGGAACCUGAAAAGGAAGACAAUGAUUUAGAGGCUACUGGGGCUAAUGAAUAUAUGGCUAAUUUUGAAGAUGAUUUUGAAGAUUACGAAGAUGACUUCGAGGUUUGUGAUGGUGAUGAUGAUAGCAGUAAUGAGCGUGACUCUAAAGAAAAAUCUGAAGAACUUCCUCUCGCCCAGAAAAGGGAAAUACAAGAAAUCCAAAAGGCAAUCAGUGCAGAGAAUGAAAGGGUUGGAGAGUUAUCUUUGAAACGGUUUCAGAAGCAAGGUCGAAUGGAGAAUGAGAAGGAGUCCUGGGCAGAAGCAAGUGAUUCCAUUUCCAGAACCCCUGUUUGUGGGAUUUUUGUAGAUUUUGCAACAGCCUCCCAUCGCCAGAAGAGUCGGAGUCAGGCCCUCAAGCAGAAGACACGAAGUACAAAGCUGCUCCGGCUUAUUGAUUUAGACUAUUCGUUCACUUUUUCUCUCUUGGACCUACCACCAGUAAAUGAGUAUGACAUGUAUAUUAGGAACUUCGGGAAAAAAAAUACCAAGCAGGCUUAUGUUCAGUACAAUGAAGAUAGCGUUGAGAGAGAUGUUCAGACUGAGGACAUAGAAACCAGGGAAGUGUGGACCCAGCACCCAGGAGAGGGCACUGUUGUAUCUGGAGGGAGUGAAGAAAAAGACAUCUCUGAUGCCACAGUCGUACCAAAGAUUGACACGCCACGGCUGUCUAGCUUUCUCCGGGCGGCAUGCCAGGUGGUUGCUGUUUUGCUUGAAGAGGACCGUUUGGCCUCUGGACCCAGCUGGAAUCCCCGGGCUCAAGACACAGCUCUGAGCAUCAGUGACAGCUCCUCCCAGCUGAACACGAGCCUGCCGUUCCUUCAGGGUAGGAAAGUCUCCUGUCUGCAUGCCUCUCGAGUUCAGAGACAGACUGUGGUCUCUGUUCAUGACUUACCUGAAGAGCCGUUUGCGCCAUCUCUGGACAGCCGGCACCUCCUCUGUGUGUGGGAUAUUUGGCAGCCUUCAGGGCCCCAGAAGGUUCUGAUAUGUGAGUCAAAGGUCACAUGUUGCUGCUUCAGCCCUUUAAAAGCAUUUUUGCUGUUUGCGGGAACAGUGCACGGCUCCGUGGUGCUUUGGGACUUAAGAGAAGACUCCAGGAUACACAGUUAUGUGAGGCUGAGCAACUGUCUCUGGGCCUUCAGGACCCCCACGUUUUCCACCGAUGGAGUCCUUACGUCAGUGAACCACCAAAGUCCUCUUCAAGCCAUAGAACCAGUUGUCACAUCUGCCUACAAAAAACAGAGCCUGGUGCUCUCACCCUUUUCUUCUCAAGAAGAAAUGGCAGGCUUAUCAUUUCACAUUGCUUCCCUGGACAACAGUGGCAUUCUCAACGUGUGGGUGGUUGUUGAAUUACCAAAGGCAGAUAUCUCAGGUUCAAUGAGUGAUUUAGGUCUGAUACCUGGAGGGAGGAUCAAAUUGGUGCACAGUACUGUGAUCCAAUUGGGCAACAGUCUUUCCCAUAAAGAUAGUGAACUCUGGGGGUCCUCACAAACACUGAGUGUCAAGUUUCUGCCUUCGGAUCCUGAUCACUUUGUUGUUGGCACCGAUACGGGACUUAUACGGCACAGUACCAGACAAGAGUGGAGAGUGUCUCCCAAGGUGUUCAAGCCUCAGCAACAUGGUGUCAGACCAAUAAAAGUUAACGUGAUCGAUUUUUCACCAUUUGAAGAAACAGUAUUCUUGGCUGGCUGUUCAGAUGGAAGCAUCAGACUGCACCAGCUGACGUCUGAGAGGCCUGUUCUGCAGUGGGACGGCAGUACCCGUGGCCGCUCUGUCACCAGCCUGCAGUGGUCCCCGACAAGGCCCACUGUGUUCUUGGUCCAGGAUGGUGCGUCCAGGAUCUAUGUCUGGGACCUUCUUGAGAAUGACCUGGGCCCUGUGGCCCAGCAGCUCAUCUCUCCAGACAGACUUGUGGCCAUGACCGUCAUGGGGGAUCCCGAGAAGGCCAGUGGUAGCUCUGUGGCGCUGGUGUUGGCCAGGGCCUCUGGCACAGUUGACAUCCAGUACUUGAAGAGGCGGUGGACCGCCCCGGCGGCGGAUGAGCACAGCCAGCUGCACAUGCUUCUUCGGAAAUGAGGGUGUAGUGUCAGGAGAAGGACGAGUGCCCAGGACGCGGCUACAGGACGCCUCCCGUGACUCCGUGUCCACGUGACCCUGUGUUCUGCUCUUGUGGAGACUGUUCUAACAGUACUGGGCGUCUGAAGGCAGCUGAGAUUCACUGAGCCACAUGACCACCCACUGGACGAGGUGAGACACGCCACAAGCGGUCAUGUGCCAACCCCUGGGCUUCAAGGAAAGUGAAGCUUUGAUGAAGAGGGCACUGAGCGAGACUCUCGUCCUGCGGAACGGCACCUGGUUGGUACAGCACGCACCAGCGGCUUGGCCCCACGCCCAUGCGCACGUGGGUGGCAUUAGUUAGACUUCGGGGACAUGAGUGAGGACAGCCUUCACCAGCUACCAAGUCUGCCAGGCAUUCAACUUGGACUUCACACGUUCGGGAGUGAGAAAUAAAUGUCUUCUUUUAUAAUUAAAA